GACGAACGCUGGCGGCGUGCUUAACACAUGCAAGUCGAACGGAAAGGCCCUGCUUUUGUGGGGUGCUCGAGUGGCGAACGGGUGAGUAACACGUGAGUAACCUGCCCUUGACUUUGGGAUAACUUCAGGAAACUGGGGCUAAUACCGGAUAGGAGCUCCUGCUGCAUGGUGGGGGUUGGAAAGUUUCGGCGGUUGGGGAUGGACUCGCGGCUUAUCAGCUUGUUGGUGGGGUAGUGGCUUACCAAGGCUUUGACGGGUAGCCGGCCUGAGAGGGUGACCGGCCACAUUGGGACUGAGAUACGGCCCAGACUCCUACGGGAGGCAGCAGUGGGGAAUAUUGCACAAUGGGCGGAAGCCUGAUGCAGCAACGCCGCGUGCGGGAUGACGGCCUUCGGGUUGUAAACCGCUUUCGCCUGUGACGAAGCGUGAGUGACGGUAAUGGGUAAAGAAGCACCGGCUAACUACGUGCCAGCAGCCGCGGUGAUACGUAGGGUGCGAGCGUUGUCCGGAUUUAUUGGGCGUAAAGGGCUCGUAGGUGGUUGAUCGCGUCGGAAGUGUAAUCUUGGGGCUUAACCCUGAGCGUGCUUUCGAUACGGGUUGACUUGAGGAAGGUAGGGGAGAAUGGAAUUCCUGGUGGAGCGGUGGAAUGCGCAGAUAUCAGGAGGAACACCAGUGGCGAAGGCGGUUCUCUGGGCCUUUCCUGACGCUGAAGAGCGAAAGCGUGGGGAGCGAACAGGCUUAGAUACCCUGGUAGUCCACGCUGUAAACGGUGGGUACUAGGUGUGGGGUCCAUUCCACGGGUUCCGUGCCGUAGCUAACGCUUUAAGUACCCCGCCUGGGGAGUACGGCCGCAAGGCUAAAACUCAAAGGAAUUGACGGGGCCCCGCACAAGCGGCGGAGCAUGCGGAUUAAUUCGAUGCAACGCGUAGAACCUUACCUGGGUUUGACAUGGAUCGGGAGUGCUCAGAGAUGGGUGUGCCUCUUUUGGGGUCGGUUCACAGGUGGUGCAUGGCUGUCGUCAGCUCGUGUCGUGAGAUGUUGGGUUAAGUCCCGCAACGAGCGCAACCCUUGUUCACUGUUGCCAGCACGUUAUGGUGGGGACUCAGUGGAGACCGCCGGGGUCAACUCGGAGGAAGGUGGGGAUGACGUCAAGUCAUCAUGCCCCUUAUGUCCAGGGCUUCACGCAUGCUACAAUGGCUGGUACAGAGAGUGGCGAGCCUGUGAGGGUGAGCGAAUCUCGGAAAGCCGGUCUCAGUUCGGAUUGGGGUCUGCAACUCGACCUCAUGAAGUCGGAGUCGCUAGUAAUCGCAGAUCAGCAACGCUGCGGUGAAUACGUUCCCGGG
rnacentral:rRNA from 1 species